UGCCUGUGACGACUUGCCAUGCUAAUACCGAAUCUCCCCUGAUCAGAGCCGAGGCUUUGGUCCGGAGAUGGAUGAAGCAAUUUCACUUUUUUGCACUGAGGCAC
ensembl:snoRNA small nucleolar RNA U6-53/MBII-28